UUUACUUUAGUGUAAAGAGCACAUGAAAUUUUGAUUUUUAUAGUAGAAGACUAAGUAAUU
rnacentral:tRNA from 1 species